rnacentral:rRNA from 1 species
UACGUAGGGUGCAAGCGUUAAUCGGAAUUACUGGGCGUAAAGCGUGCGCAGGCGGUUUUGUAAGUUUGUCGUGAAAGCCCCGGGCUCAACCUGGGAAUUGCGAUGAAGACUGCAAGGCUGAAUCUGGCAGAGGGGGGUAGAAUUCCACGUGUAGCAGUGAAAUGCGGUAGAGAUGUGGAGGCACACCGAUGGCGAAGGCAGCCCCCUGGGUCA